rnacentral:lncRNA from 1 species
AGCAUGCCUCGAUUUGUAGUUCACCGAGACUUCCUGCCACCGCAGCAACAACGGGGGCUCUACUCAGACCCCAGGACUGGAGGAGAGGACCCUGUCGGGCUGUAGUAGCUCGGAGCCGAUGGCCGACCCGCCGCCGCUUGAAGACAAUGAUGAAUGAGGGGAAGGAGGAGCUCAAGCUGCCCUGGUGCUGGAGGACAAGCUCUCUCUGACUUCAGGAAAGAUGUUGAAGGUAGACGGCAUCUUCCAACUUCCGGAGCUUCCAGGGACAUUAAAUUUAUUUAUGUUUAAAUAAAUAUUUACCUAACCUU